rnacentral:rRNA from 1 species
GGUCUGGUGGCGAGUGGCGAACGGGUGAGUAAUGUAUCGGAACGUGCCUAGUAGCGGGGGAUAACUACGCGAAAGCGUAGCUAAUACCGCAUACGCCCUACGGGGGAAAGCAGGGGAUCGUAAGACCUUGCACUAUUAGAGCGGCCGAUAUCGGAUUAGCUAGUUGGUGGGGUAAUGGCUCACCAAGGCGACGAUCCGUAGCUGGUUUGAGAGGACGACCAGCCACACUGGGACUGAGACACGGCCCAGACUCCUACGGGAGGCAGCAGUGGGGAAUUUUGGACAAUGGGGGAAACCCUGAUCCAGCCAUCCCACGUGUGCGAUGAAGGCCUUCGGGUUGUAAAGCACUUUUGGCAGGAAAGAAACGUCAUGGGCUAAUACCCCGUGAAACUGACGGUACCUGCAGAAUAAGCACCGGCUAACUACGUGCCAGCAGCCGCGGUAAU